AGGGAAUCUUCCACAAUGGACGAAAGUCUGAUGGAGCAACGCCGCGUGAGUGAUGAAGGGUUUCGGCUCGUAAAACUCUGUUGUUGGAGAAGAACAGGUGUCAGAGUAACUGUUGACAUCUUGACGGUAUCCAACCAGAAAGCCACGGCUAACUACGUGCCAGCAGCCGCGGUAAUACGUAGGUGGCAAGCGUUGUCCGGAUUUAUUGGGCGUAAAGCGAGCGCAGGCGGUUUCUUAGGUCUGAUGUGAAAGCCUUCGGCUUAACCGGAGAAGUGCAUCGGAAACCAGGAGACUUGAGUGCAGAAGAGGACAGUGGAACUCCAUGUGUAGCGGUGAAAUGCGUAGAUAUAUGGAAGAACACCAGUGGCGAAGGCGGCUGUCUGGUCUGUAACUGACGCUGAGGCUCGAAAGCAUGGGUAGCGAACAGGAUUAGAUACCCUUGGUAGUCCAUGCCGUAAACGAUGAGUGCUAAGUGUUGGAGGG
rnacentral:rRNA from 1 species